GAUGAAGAACGCAGCGAAAUGCGAUAAGUAAUGUGAAUUGCAGAAUUCAGUGAAUCAUCGAAUCUUUGAACGCAUCUUGCGCUCCUUGGUAUUCUGAGGAGCAUGCCUGUUUGAGUGUCAUUAAAUUCUCAACCGCACUGACUUUGAAUUGGUGUGGCUUGGAUUUGGGGGGAAAAUUGUUGUGGGCUUUUUUGUAUAGUCUGCUCCCCUGAAAUUGAUUAGCGGUACCUUUGUGGAACUGUCUACAGGUGUGAUAAUUAUCUACAUCCUAGACAUCUGCUGGAAUGCUGCUUUCUAAACCUUACUUGUAUUGACAAUCUUGACCUCAAAUCAGGUAGGACUACCCGCUGAACUUAAGCAUAUCAAUAAGCGAGGA
rnacentral:misc_RNA from 1 species